rnacentral:rRNA from 1 species
GACGAACGCUGGCGGCGUGCUUAACACAUGCAAGUCGAACGGGUCUGCCCUGUUUUUUGCGGGGUGGGUCAGUGGCGAACGGGUGAGUAACACGUGAGUAACCUGCCCCUCACUUCUGGAUAACCGCUUGAAAGGGUGGCUAAUACGGGGUGUUCUGGCUGUGCCGCAUGGUGUGGCUGGGAAAGAUUCACUUUUGUGGUGUUUUGGUGGGGGAUGGGCUCGCGGCCUAUCAGCUUGUUGGUGGGGUGAUGGCCUGCCAAGGCUUUGACGGGUAGCCGGCCUGAGAGGGUGGGCGGUCACACUGGGACUGAGAUACGGCCCAGACUCCUGCGGGAGGCAGCAGUGGGGGGUAUUGCACAAUGGGCGGAAGCCUGAUGCAGCGACGUCGCGUGAGGGAUGGAGGCCUUCGGGUUGUGAACCUCCUUCGCCGGUGAAGAAGGUCCUGCUCUUUGGGGUGGGGUUGACGGUAGCCGGGUUAUGAAGCGCCGGCUAACUACGUG